rnacentral:rRNA from 1 species
UUCGGCGUGCCUAAUACAUGCAAGUAGAACGCUGAAGAGAGGAGCUUGCUCUUCUUGGAUGAGUUGCGAACGGGUGAGUAACGCGUAGGUAACCUGCCUUGUAGCGGGGGAUAACUAUUGGAAACGAUAGCUAAUACCGCAUAACAAUGGAUGACACAUGUCAUUUAUUUGAAAGGGGCAAAUGCUCCACUACAAGAUGGACCUGCGUUGUAUUAGCUAGUAGGUGAGGUAACGGCUCACCUAGGCGACGAUACAUAGCCGACCUGAGAGGGUGAUCGGCCACACUGGGACUGAGACACGGCCCAGACUCCUACGGGAGGCAGCAGUAGGGAAUCUUCGGCAAUGGGGGCAACCCUGACCGAGCAACGCCGCGUGAGUGAAGAAGGUUUUCGGAUCGUAAAGCUCUGUUGUAAGUCAAGAACGAGUGUGAGAGUGGAAAGUUCACACUGUGACGGUAGCUUACCAGAAAGGGACGGCUAACUACGUGCCAGCAGCCGCGGUAAUACGUAGGUCCCGAGCGUUGUCCGGAUUUAUUGGGCGUAAAGCGAGCGCAGGCGGUUUGAUAAGUCUGAAGUUAAAGGCUGUGGCUCAACCAUAGUUCGCUUUGGAAACUGUCAAACUUGAGUGCAGAAGGGGAGAGUGGAAUUCCAUGUGUAGCGGUGAAAUGCGUAGAUAUAUGGAGGAACACCGGUGGCGAAAGCGGCUCUCUGGUCUGUAACUGACGCUGAGGCUCGAAAGCGUGGGGAGCGAACAGGAUUAGAUACCCUGGUAGUCCACGCCGUAAACGAUGAGUGCUAGGUGUUGGAUCCUUUCCGGGAUUCAGUGCCGCAGCUAACGCAUUAAGCACUCCGCCUGGGGAGUACGACCGCAAGGUUGAAACUCAAAGGAAUUGA